GUGCUCACUUCAACAGCACAUAUACUAAAAUUAUAAUCUACAGAGAAGAUUGGCAUGUCCCCUGCACAAGAAUGACACACAAAUUCAUAAAGCAGUCCAUAUUUUG
rfam:Callithrix jacchus chromosome 18, whole genome shotgun sequence